AGCGAACGCUGGCGGCAGGCUUAACACAUGCAAGUCGAGCGGGCAUCCUUGUGGUGUCAGCGGCAGACGGGUGAGUAACGCGUGGGAACGUGCCCUUCGGUUCGGAAUAACUCAGGGAAACUUGAGCUAAUACCGGAUACGUGCGAGAGCAGAAAGGUUUAUCUGCCGAAGGAUCGGCCCGCGUCUGAUUAGCUAGUUGGUGAGGUUAUGGCUCACCAAGGCGACGAUCAGUAGCCGGUCUGAGAGGAUGAUCAGCCACACUGGGACUGAGACACGGCCCAGACUCCUACGGGAGGCAGCAGUGGGGAAUAUUGGACAAUGGGGGCAACCCUGAUCCAGCCAUGCCGCGUGAGUGAUGACGGCCUUAGGGUUGUAAAGCUCUUUUCUUCGGGACGAUAAUGACGGUACCGGAGGAAUAAGCCCCGGCUAACUUCGUG
rnacentral:rRNA from 1 species